CCUACGGGUGGCAGCAGUGAGGAAUAUUGGUCAAUGGACGAGAGUCUGAACCAGCCAAGUAGCGUGAAGGAUGACUGCCCUAUGGGUUGUAAACUUCUUUUAUAAAGGAAUAAAACGAGGCACGUGUGCCUUUUUGUAUGUACUUUAUGAAUAAGGAUCGGCUAACUCCGUGCCAGCAGCCGCGGUAAUACGGAGGAUCCGAGCGUUAUCCGGAUUUAUUGGGUUUAAAGGGAGCGUAGAUGGGUUGUUAAGUCAGUUGUGAAAGUUUGCGGCUCAACCGUAAAAUUGCAAUUGAUACUGGCAGUCUUGAGUACAGUAGAGGUAGGCGGAAUUCGUGGUGUAGCGGUGAAAUGCUUAGAUAUCACGAAGAACCCCGAUUGCGAAGGCAGCUUACUGGACUGUAACUGACAUUGAUGCUCGAAAGUGUGGGUAUCAAACAGGAUUAGAUACCCGUGUAGUC
rnacentral:rRNA from 1 species